GGUUAUGAGAGGAAGGUCCCCCACAUUGGAACUGAGAACACGGUCCAAAACUCCUACGGGAGGCAGCAGUGAGGAAUAUUGGUCAAUGGGCGAGAGCCUGAACCAGCCAAGUAGCGUGCAGGACGACGGCCCUAUGGGUUGUAAACUGCUUUUAUGCGGGGAUAAAGUUCACUACGUGUAGUGUUUUGUAGGUACCGCAUGAAUAAGGACCGGCUAAUUCCGUGCCAGCAGCCGCGGUAAUACGGAAGGUCCGGGCGUUAUCCGGAUUUAUUGGGUUUAAAGGGAGCGCAGGCCGGAGGUCAAGCGUGACGUGAAAUGUAGCCGCUCAACGGCUGAACUGCGUCGCGAACUGGCUUUCUUGAGUGAGUUCGAUGUGGGCGGAAUUCGUGGUGUAGCGGUGAAAUGCUUAGAUAUCACGAAGAACUCCGAUUGCGAAGGCAGCCCACAAGGCCUUUACUGACGCUAAAGCUCGAAGGUGCGGGUAUCGAACAGGAUUAGAUACCCUGGUAGUCCGCACGGUAAACGAUGGAUGCCCGCUGUUUGCGAUAUACUGUGAGCGGCCAAGAGAAAUCGUUAAGCAUCCCACCUGGGGAGUACGCCGGCAACGGUGAAACUCAAAGGAAUUGACGGGGGCCCGCACAAGCGGAGGAACAUGUGGUUUAAUUCGAUGAUACGCGAGGAACCUUACCCGGGCUCGAACGGCGCCUGAACCACCCAGAGAUGGGUGGGUCUUCGGACAGGUGCCGAGGUGCUGCAUGGUUGUCGUCAGCUCGUGCCGUGAGGUGUCGGCUCAAGUGCCAUAACGAGCGCAACCCCUGCCGCCAGUUGCCAUCAGGUGAAGCUGGGCACUCUGGCGGGACUGCCACCGCAAGGUGUGAGGAGGGGGGGGAUGACGUCAAAUCAGCACGGCCCUUACGUCCGGGGCGACACACGUGUUACAAUGGCGGCCACAGAGGGAAGCUACCCGGCGACGGGAUGCGGAUCUCGAAAAGCCGUCCCAGUUCGGACUGGAGUCUGCAACCCGACUCCACGAAGUUGGAUUCGCUAGUAAUCGCGCAUCAGCCAUGGCGCGGUGAAUACAAUCCCGGGCCUUGCACUCACCGCCCGUCAAG
rnacentral:rRNA from 1 species